rnacentral:rRNA from 1 species
CCUACGGGAGGCAGCAGUGAGGAAUAUUGGUCAAUGGACGAGAGUCUGAACCAGCCAAGUAGCGUGAAGGAUGACUGCCCUAUGUGUUGUAAACUUCUUUUAUAAAGGAAUAAAACGAGGCACGUGUGCCUUUUUGCAUGUACUUUAUGAAUAAGGAUCGGCUAACUCCGUGCCAGCAGCCGCGGUAAUACGGAGGAUCCGAGCGUUAUCCGGAUUUAUUGGGUUUAAAGGGAGCGUAGAUGGGUUGUUAAGUCAGUUGUGAAAGUUUGCGGCUCAACCGUAAAAUUGCAAUUGAUACUGGCAGUCGUGAGUACAGUUGAGGUAGGCGGAAUUCGUGGUGUAGCGGUGAAAUGCUUAGAUAUCACGAAGAACUCCGAUUGCGAAGGCAGCUUACUAGACUGCCACUGACAUUGAUGCUCGAAAGUGUGGGUAUCAAACAGGAUUAGAUACCCUUGUAGUC